UACAGAGGUCCCGAGCGUUGUUCGGAUUCACUGGGCGUAAAGGGUGCGUAGGUGGUGAGGUAAGUCGGAUGUGAAAUCCCUCGGCUCAACUGAGGAAGUGCACCCGAAACUGGCAGGCUUGAGUACUAAAGAGGGUCGCGGAAUUCCCGGUGUAGAGGUGAAAUUCGUAGAUAUCGGGAGGAACACCGGUGGCGAAGGCGGCGACCUGGGUAGAUACUGACGCUGAGGUGCGAAAGCGUGGGGAGCAAACAGG
rnacentral:rRNA from 1 species